UACGUAGGGUGCGAGCGUUGUCCGGAAUUACUGGGCGUAAAGAGCUUGUAGGUGGUUUGUCGCGUCUGCUGUGAAAAUCCGAGGCUCAACCUCGGACUUGCAGUGGGUACGGGCAGACUAGAGUGUGGUAGGGGAGACUGGAAUUCCUGGUGUAGCGGUGGAAUGCGCAGAUAUCAGGAGGAACACCGAUGGCGAAGGCAGGUCUACUGGGCCAUACUG
rnacentral:rRNA from 1 species